rnacentral:rRNA from 1 species
UAUUGGUCAAUGGCCGGAAGGCUGAACCAGCCAAGCUGCGUGAGGGAAGACGGCCCUACGGGUUGUAAACCUCUUUAGCCGGGGAACAAGGCGCGGGACGCGUCCCGCCGCGAGCGUACCCGGAGAAUAAGCACCCGCUAACUCCGUGCCAGCAGCCGCGGUAAUACGGAGGAUGCGAGCGCUAUCCGGAUUUAUUGGGUUUAAAGGGUGCGUAGGCGGGCUUUUAAGUCAGCGGUCAAAUGUCGGGGCUCAACCCCGGCCUGCCGUUGAAACUGGCGGCCUCGAGUGGGCGAGAAGUAUGCGGAAUGCGUGGUGUAGCGGUGAAAUGCAUAGAUAUCACGCAGAACUCCGAUUGCGAAGGCAGCAUACCGGCGCCCUACUGACGCUGAGGCACGAAAGCGUGGGUAUCGAACAGGA